ACAAAGGUCAUAUUCAUCUUGCGAAAUGUUGGCAUCCUCAGCACCUGGCACGUAAUAGCAUCCCAUAGGGAGUAGGAGGUCUUUGCUCUUCCAUGAUAUAACCUAAGCAACUCUCCACCCCUGUAGAAGAUUGCCUCGGACUGAGUGGAACAACCUGCAGAUCUUGUUAAAAUACAGAUUCUGGUAAAGCUGGUCUGAGGUGGGACCGAGGUUCUCCAUUUCUAACAAACUUCCAGGUGAUGUGACCCUGGUGG